GAUGAAGAACGUAGCGAAAUGCGAUAAUUAAUGUGAAUUGCAGAAUUCCGUGAAUCAUCGAAUCUUUGAACGCACAUUGCGCCCUGUGGUAUUCCGCAGGGCAUGCCUGUUCGAGCGUCAUUUCAACCCUCAAGCUCUGCUUGGUGUUGGGCCCUGCCCGCUGCGGCCGGCCCUAAAGACAGUGGCGGUGCCGCCUGGCCCUGAGCGUAGUACAUCUCUCGCUCCAGUGCCCGGUGGUAGCCUGCCAGAACCCCAACUCUCGUGGUUGACCUCGGAUCAGGUAGGGAUACCCGCUGAACUUAAGCAUAUCAAUAAGCGGAGGA
rnacentral:misc_RNA from 1 species